UGGGGAAUCUUCCGCAAUGGACGAAAGUCUGACGGAGCAACGCCGCGUGUAUGAUGAAGGUCUUCGGAUUGUAAAGUACUGUCAUUGGGGAAGAACGGUUUUCUUGAAAAGAUUGAGAAGACAUGACGGUACCCAAGGAGGAAGCCCCGGCUAACUACGUGCCAGCAGCCGCGGUAAUACGUAGGGGGCAAGCGUUGUCCGGAAUUAUUGGGCGUAAAGGGCGCGUAGGCGGGCCUUUAAGUCCGGUGUGAAAGAUCAGGGCUCAACCCUGAGAGUGCAUCGGAAACUGGAGGCCUUGAGGACAGGAGAGGAAAGUGGAAUUCCACGUGUAGCGGUGAAAUGCGUAGAUAUGUGGAGGAACACCAGUGGCGAAGGCGACUUUCUGGACUGUAACUGACGCUGAGGCGCGAAAGCGUGGGGAGCAAACAGGAUUAGAUACCCUGGUAGUCCACGCCGUAAACGAUGAGUGCUAGGUGUAGAGGGUAUCGACCCCCUUCUGUGCCGCAGUUAAA
rnacentral:rRNA from 1 species